rnacentral:misc_RNA from 1 species
AGCCAAUCAGGAAUCCACUCCUUUACGUAUGCUACAACAUUGCGUGCUUAGCAGAACUGUGGCGUCUUAUUUAAGAAACGAGAAGGUAUAAAAGGAGCAACAUCGCGCCGCCAUUUCACAGCAGCUAGCGGCCGGCUUGACAUUACUGUGCGGAAGACAUGGCGCGCAAAUGCACACUGGCAUCAUCGGCUCUUGCGCUAUGUAUACUUAUAAGCCUGGUUGAUGAUAGUCCUGAAGCACAAAGUGGAGGCGUUCGUAUGGACUUCUCACCAAUUUACAUUAAGGACCAAGACAUCACAAAGGACGGAGAUAGUCAUCUAUGGACAGUUCUAUAAGUGUGAUGAUAUAUAUGGAAUGGAAAAUGGCCAGCGGACACACCCAAAUUGUCUUAGACUUACCCCAGCAGAUCCAACGUUUGGAACAAACUACAGAUUGGUCUAUUUAGAAUAUGGGAAGUGUUCUAUCUUCCGAGUGAUGGACGUGGGCGAAGGAUACGGCUGCGCGGUUCUUCUCAUCGAUUCGACUGUCGGCAACGGUAUGACUUCUGUUUGUAAGAUAGCCUAUAAACGAUUUUGCGGUGAGGAAAGUGCACUCCAAAAAGUGUAUAAAGACUGCAAAUAGCAAGGCGCCCAAGAACACACCAAGGAAAACAUCCAAGAAAACAUCUAAGCAAGUUAAUAAAGACACCCUUUCCCUUACUUUGCAAUAAAAUCGACUCACCAUAA